CAUAGUUGAAGUAAUAAGUUACAACCCUCGAAAUGUGAUGCCCCUUGUUGACACUUUCCCAAGGCUCGAUAGAUUUCUGCGAGGAUCAUAGGUACGAUGCUGAAUAACUGCCCAUUGAUUCCUUCCAUCAAAGUCUUGGUAACCAUGGCUAGUCUGGUGUGGAUCCUAGCCUCUUCAUAGGGAAAAUUACCAUGCCCAAAAAGCAAAACAUAAACACAAACACCCUUCUAUAUGUGUGCCCCAAAUAGGUAAGGGCGAAUUCAUCCCAUGUAGGUGUGAUAGGACUUACUGUGGCCAUAUCUCUCGUAUAGGAAAUUGAAUUGUAUGUAAGAGUCCUUCAAGCAAGAAAGGUUGGGAUUUUUCUUGAGUCCAUAAUUUUAAGGAAACCUCUACUUUUGUGAUUCUUUGGCAUGAGUAAACCCGCGUUUCCCA
rnacentral:lncRNA from 1 species